UCAGGAUGAACGCUAGCUACAGGCUUAACACAUGCAAGUCGAGGGGCAGCAUUUCAGUUUGCUUGCAAACUGGAGAUGGCGACCGGCGCACGGGUGAGUAACACGUAUCCAACCUGCCGAUAACUCGGGGAUAGCCUUUCGAAAGAAAGAUUAAUACCCGAUGGUAUAAUCAGACCGCAUGGUCUUGUUAUUAAAGAAUUUCGGUUAUCGAUGGGGAUGCGUUCCAUUAGGCAGUUGGUGAGGUAACGGCUCACCAAACCUUCGAUGGAUAGGGGUUCUGAGAGGAAGGUCCCCCACAUUGGAACUGAGACACGGUCCAAACUCCUACGGGAGGCAGCAGUGAGGAAUAUUGGUCAAUGGGCGCAGGCCUGAACCAGCCAAGUAGCGUGAAGGAUGACUGCCCUAUGGGUUGUAAACUUCUUUUAUAUGGGAAUAAAGUUUUCCACGUGUGGAAUUUUGUAUGUACCAUAUGAAUAAGGAUCGGCUAACUCCGUGCCAGCAGCCGCGGUAAUACGGAGGAUCCGAGCGUUAUCCGGAUUUAUUGGGUUUAAAGGGAGCGUAGGUGGACAGUUAAGUCAGUUGUGAAAGUUUGCGGCUCAACCGUAAAAUUGCAGUUGAUACUGGCUGUCUUGAGUACAGUAGAGGUGGGCAGAAUUCGUGGUGUAGCGGUGAAAUGCUUAGAUAUCACGAAGAACUCCGAUUGCGAAGGCAGCUCACUGGACUGCAACUGACACUGAUGCUCGAAAGUGUGGGUAUCAAACAGGAUUAGAUACCCUGGUAGUCCACACAGUAAACGAUGAAUACUCGCUGUUUGCGAUAUACAGUAAGCGGCCAAGCGAAAGCAUUAAGUAUUCCACCUGGGGAGUACGCCGGCAACGGUGAAACUCAAAGGAAUUGACGGGGGCCCGCACAAGCGGAGGAACAUGUGGUUUAAUUCGAUGAUACGCGAGGAACCUUACCCGGGCUUAAAUUGCAUUUGAAUAUAUUGGAAACAGUAUAGCCGUAAGGCAAAUGUGAAGGUGCUGCAUGGUUGUCGUCAGCUCGUGCCGUGAGGUGUCGGCUUAAGUGCCAUAACGAGCGCAACCCUUAUCUUUAGUUACUAACAGGUCAUGCUGAGGACUCUAGAGAGACUGCCGUCGUAAGAUGUGAGGAAGGUGGGGAUGACGUCAAAUCAGCACGGCCCUUACGUCCGGGGCUACACACGUGUUACAAUGGGGGGUACAGAAGGCAGCUACCUGGUGACAGGAUGCUAAUCCCAAAAGCCUCUCUCAGUUCGGAUCGAAGUCUGCAACCCGACUUCGUGAAGCUGGAUUCGCUAGUAAUCGCGCAUCAGCCAUGGCGCGGUGAAUACGUUCCCGGGCCUUGUACACACCGCCCGUCAAGCCAUGAAAGCCGGGGGUACCUGAAGUACGUAACCGCAAGGAGCGUCCUAGGGUAAAACUGGUA
rnacentral:rRNA from 1 species